GGUAGAGUGGCCGAGUGGACUAAGGCGACAGAUUUAGGAUUACUAAGCACAGUAGCCUCUGUUGGGAAACCGCGCGAGUUCGAAUCUCGUCUCUAUCA
rnacentral:tRNA from 1 species